GUAAAGCACUUUCAGUAGGGAGGAAGGUAGUGUAGUUAACACCUGCAUUAUUUGACGUUACCUACAGAAGAAGCACCGGCUAACUCCGUGCCAGCAGCCGCGGUAAUACGGAGGGGUGCGAGCGUUAAUCGGAAUUACUGGGCGUAAAGCGCAUGCAGGCGGCCUGUUAAGUCAGAUGUGAAAGCCCGGGGCUUAACCUCGGAAUUGCAUUUGAAACUGGCAGGCUAGAGUCUUGUAGAGGGGGGUAGGAAUUUCAGGUGUAGCGGUGAAAUAGCGUAGAGAUCUGAAGGAAUACCAGUGGCGAAGGCGGCCCCCUGGACAAAGACUGACGCUCAGAUGCGAAAGCGUCGGGGAGCCCAAACAGGAUUACGUAUACCCCUCGGUAG
rnacentral:rRNA from 1 species